UACAGAGGGUGCGAGCGUUGUUCGGAAUCACUGGGCGUAAAGCGCGCGCAGGCGGGCGUGUAAGUCAGGAGUGAAAUUCCGGGGCUCAACCCCGGAGCUGCUCCUGAUACUGCAGGUCUGGAGACCGGUAGAGGCUGGUGGAAUUCCCGGUGUAGCGGUGGAAUGCGUAGAGAUCGGGAAGAACACCCGUGGCGAAGGCGGCCAGCUGGGCCGGUUCUGACGCUGAGGCGCGAAAGCGUGGGGAGCAAACAGG
rnacentral:rRNA from 1 species